UGUUGAAAGUACCAUUUGUGUUUGUCUCUCUUUUUCCUCCCUUAUUUAGGCAUUGUUUUUCUUAUACAUUUAAGUGACAGUGGAUGAUUAACAACACUUUUGAUAGUAUCUGGUAACUGUAGAUAUAAUAAGAGGAUACCUACAUAAAACAUUAUCUGCAACAGUGGUGUUCAUAGUCGAAAGUGAUAAAGGUGUUGGAUGACAGUGUGAUUUGCACACAAGCGUGAAAACAACUUGGAUCUUGGGUUGUUGCUGUUGCACUAAAGUGUGAAACAACCUAGGCAUAAUUUGACAACAUGGCCACUAGGUGCUCCUAGAACUCUUUUUGGUCUAAAUUUCUACAUAGAUCUGCCAAUUUGAUGCAAAAGCUUCAACAAAUUAACAAAAAAACAGAUUAGUACUCCAAAGAAUUCGACUCACUCCAUAUUUCAGUCACCCAAUCCUACUAGAUAACAAAGCAAAAAAUUUGAUUUUUUUCAUGUUAUGAAGCAAAGAAUCCCCAUGCACUACUCAUAAUGGGUACAAAAAAAUACUUCCUGAAUGAAGAAGUCGUUGAAGGAAAAAUAUUGAUUGAAGAAGUUGUUGCAUGUGGUGAUUUUAUUGCAACAUAUAUUCAUGGAGUCAUGCUGCUUUGUGAAUCGAAUCCUAAAGGCAUAAGUAACCUUUUGAAAGUUUUGAAUGAUGAACAUGGAAAUCAUAGGCUUCUAAAAUGCCAAAGAAUACUUCGACUACUUGCUGCAAGAACCGCCAUGUAUCAAAGUCCAAACUUUCAAGCUUGCCAAAAAUCUAAAAUGGAACAUUGGAACCGUGAUGAACCGUAUCCUUAUGGUUAUGAAGAAUUUGUGGUUAUGUGCAAGAGAUGCUUGAUCGACCUUGAAAUGUUUAAGUUGGUGAAUAGGUUUAUUUAAGUUUGACAAAAAA